GGUGAGAUGGCCGAGCGGUCCAAGGCGCCAGACUAAGGAGACCAGGACAGUUCCUGUCCAGUUUAUCUGGUCUCUUCGGGGGCGUGGGUUCAAAUCCCACUCUCAUCA